rnacentral:rRNA from 1 species
UACGUAGGGUGCGAGCGUUGUCCGGAAUUAUUGGGCGUAAAGAGCUUGUAGGCGGUUUGUCGCGUCUGCUGUGAAAAUCCGGGGCUCAACCCCGGACUUGCAGUGGGUACGGGCAGACUAGAGUGUGGUAGGGGAGACUGGAAUUCCUGGUGUAGCGGUGGUAUGCGCGGAUAUCAGGAGGAACACCGAAGGCGAAGGCAGGUCUCUUGGCCCUUGCUGACGCUGAGAAGCGAAAGCAUGGGGAGCGAACAGG